UUGACAAAAAAAAGUAAGAAAACUUAUUUUCAUUUUAAAUAUGGAUGAAAUUGAGCUCAAAUUUCAAAAUUGUUCUUCCUUCUGUCCACAUAUGUUCUAUUUGUUAACCCUGUUGUCUUUUCUCUGGAUUUCAUUUCUACAUCAACUCAUGUCACAUGACAUGAGUUGACCAACAAUUAAAGCAGAAGACCAGCGCCGCCUGUAAUCCUCCACGGCCAGGUGGAGGAAGAUAAGAGAACCCAGUUGACAAAAAAAGUAAGAACAUUUAUAUCUACGCAACAUGACUAAUCAUUUCAAAUAUAGCUGCAGAGAGCUGAGCUGAAAGUUAGAAACUGUCGCUGUCUGCUGUCCAUGCAUAUUUUCCUCCCUAACUUUAUCUUCUCUCUUUAUUUCAUUUCUCUGUGAACUCAUGUGAUGACUGGAGUUGACCAACAAUUAAAGCAGAAGAAGACCUGCUCCACCUGCUGAUCUACUGGUUGUAACAGCUUGUGGGAAAGCAUCACUGGACCAAUCAGGAGAGAGAAGACGGAGAGGACUGAGGACUAAAACGAAAAUACUCUGCCUGCCAAAAAAGGCAGACGAUCCAAUGGCCCCAGGUUUACACACCAUCUGCUGGUUUGAGGCAGACUGACCGCUGGGGAGAUGGACCUCACCUGGCACCAUUACUCUGGAUGUAACAGGUAGCUCGACUCUCCUGUCCAUUAAAACAUCAAUGACUCGAGAAGCGGACAGCGAGGUUUCUGGUGCCUGGCUGGAGACGAGAUUCUGAUUAUUCAAGGGCCAAAA